ACAGGAGUAGCUCAGUUUGGAAGAGUAGCUGGCAUAUAGCCAGUUUGUCAUGGGUUCGAAUCCCGUCUCCUGUU
rnacentral:tRNA from 1 species